GUGUGUAUGCUAUGUGUGUUUGGGUGUCUGAUCUCAGAAGCUAAGCAGGAUUGGGCCUGGUUAGCACUUGGGUGGGAGACCACAUGGGCAUACCUGGUGCAGUAGGCU
rfam:Cricetulus griseus cell line CHO-K1, whole genome shotgun sequence.